GGUGAAGCGGCAGGUCCAGGAACUCAUGGCAGAUAAACAGAGCCUGGCCAGUGAUUAUAAAUCCAGAGUCCUGACCACUGAGCUUUACAGCAGAGACAAGGUGACUGAAGACGAUCCCAUUCUGGGGAGGAUCUGGGCAAAGAGGCCUUUGAACGCAGUCUUCCCAGGGUGCAAACAUCAAGGGCUGGGCAAUGAGUAUCUAAGGUGUCACCAACGUGCACACACCCUGCUGUCCACAGCCCCACUUCGGGACGUGCACCCUAAGAAGAUAAUCUCCGAAGUUCUACAAGGGACAGGACAGGCCCUCCUGGAUCCGGUGAAGACACCCCUAAAGACUGCAAACUAUGGAGUCAACCUCACCACCCUCCUGGCUGAAUCCUUUCUGAGAAGAGGUUGGACACUGCUCUUGAGCAAUACUUGUUUGUUUACUUGUGCUGAAAAGCAGAGAUGACGCAGGACUGAUUGGACCACUGGCCAAUAGCUGCCCAGACAAGAAUGAGGGUGGAAUAUCUCUCCCAAUCAGAAAGCGGAGAGGCGGGACAGACUGGGCCGGCUUGAAGAGCCGAACGAAUUCUCAGUGGGACUUGCCUUCCAUACUGAGUGUGGCAAAAUCACCCUAAUGUGUUCUACUGUCCGUUCAGGUUUCAUGCCUCAUUUAACAGAUUCGUAGAAAUAGCUGGACAGCACGAGUAAGGUGCAAGGCUGUCACAUUCUAUUUUUAGCCAUUACCUUAUAUUCCCCAUGGUUGUGGUCAUUUCGUGUUAGGAAAAAAGGAAUAGGAUGAGAGUUAUUUAAAACCUAUACUGCUUGGCUUUUUAGAAUGAUUACUUGAUAGUUUAAAAUCACCAUGAGGUUCCUGGAGAAAACAAUAAUAUUGAUGUUGUUUAUUUUAAAAUAAAUCGUACUAUGCUUAUGUUAACUAGCUUAAAAUAAUCAUCAGUAAUAUUAAUUUAUCACUGAAUAUUGUUCACUAUGUCGAACUUCGACUAAACCGCUGUCUGGGGGGUCCCUGAAAAUUUUCGCAUACCCUCAAGCACACUGGUUUUCAAAAUUUACAUGAAGUUGCAGUACUUUUUUUUUUUUUUUUGGCUCCACCCACGGCAUGUGGAAGUUCCCGAGUCAGGGAUGGAACCCUCACCGCAGCUGCAGUCUGCACCACAGAGGCGGCAACACUGGAUUCUUAACCUACUGCGCCACAGGGGAACUUCCACGGCCACAGUCCUUAUUUACACUUAUUUGCACAUGAAUAUAAAUUAGUAAACAUUAAACACUGUUUACAUAUUGCUUAUUUCAACACGUUGUUCCUACAUGCUCAUGAGAUACCAUUUAUACCCCAAGUACUUUGGAUGAUUUUCUGAGAAAACUGUAGGGAUGUGUGUUUUUAGAUUCAAGUAGGAAUUUAAAGAGUACAGC
rnacentral:lncRNA from 1 species